GUGAUUGUGGCGGAUUAUGUGGUGACCUUGAUAUCCAAAUAAAGCUUGAAAAUAGCGGCGUGUUUUCUGAUCUCUAUGUGGUAAAGGGCACGGAAAUCGGCCAUGAACUAGUGUCUGUUCAUUUGGAUGAACCAGCAGUUAAAUAUAUGGAAGAUAAAAUUGUCCUAACUGUAGCAGAAGCCAUAUCUCUGGAACCUCCUUCGCAUAGUGUCUGUUCAUUUGGAUGAACCAUCAGUUAAAUAUAUGGAAGAUAAAAUUGUCCUAACUGUGGCAGAAGCCAUAUCUCUGGAACCUCCUUCGCCGGUUUGUGUCCUUGUUGGUGCUAUUGUUCAUUAUACUCUUAAAGUUAUCCGUGGGAAUAUUCCACAACUUGUUAUUCUGCCAUCUGCCUUUCA
rnacentral:lncRNA from 1 species